CAUGAUCGGCGAUUUUGGAAUACCAGCAACACCAGUAAAACAUAAACACUAAAAUAUUUUACUGGGAAAAUUGCCAUUUUGUUCAUGCUCAGGGGGUCAUGUUGUUUCAAGUUCUGCUGAACAGAUGUGGAUGUACAGAAAGCUAGAAGCAGAGCUGCAUUCUGGACCACGAAGCAUUCCACGUAUAUCUGCACCAACUGUUGGGCCUUCUAUUGCACCACCACUACCAGUUCAAGCGCCUUAUUUCCGACCUCUUAAUUUUCCACCAUAUAGUUCAUGGGAUGUGCGUGGUUUGAACAACCAUAUGCCUAGAAAUCCAAUUUCACCUCGUGUAAUGCCGGAUGUUCAUCUCGUGUAAAGCCAUCUUUCCUUGAGCAAACUUACAAAGAUGAAUCUCCGCUGAACCCUCUUCCAAAGUAAUUGGCAUCGCCGCUGCCGCUGAACCCUCUUUGAAAUCUCAAAAUCUGUUGAACAAAAGGAACAAUCAGAUGGCUCUGGUUCUGAUUCAGAGCAUCGUGGGAUUCUGCUGCCUGGAGGCCACCUUGUUGUAAAGCUUUUGGAGAGUGAAGAUGUUAAAGAUUUUAGCCACAUCUGCAAAACCCCUUUUCAAAAAAGCAGCAUGGUUGAGACCUAAAGCUACAAGGUCAUGCUCCAGAGAAAUAAAAAAGCUAGACCUUUAAGGGCUGAAAUAUUGGGGAACCAUUCACCUACAUUUGCAGAUUUCCUCUUCUACUUUCUCAAUUAUAAUGUAAACUCAAAGGUGGAUGGAAAGAGAAGGAGAAGAGAUGAAGGAGGAGAUGGGUUUUUGGUGGCAGAGAUUAGUAGCAGAGAAGAGAUAAUUUGCAUUUUCCAAAAUGCCCUUGUUUAAUGUUAAAUUAGGAGCUAAAGGUGGUGGCGCCGCCGUAGAAGGACUUAAUUGGAUCCAAAAAUUAAAUUCAUGUAUUAAAUUGGCCAA